rnacentral:rRNA from 1 species
CGCUGAACUUAAGCAUAUUCAAUAAGCGGAGGAAAAGAAACCCAACAGGGAUUGCCCCUAGUAACGGCGAGUGAAGCGGCAACAGCUCAAAUUUGAAAUCUGGCCUCGGCCCGAGUUGUAAUUUGCAGAGGAUGCUUCUGGCGCGGUGCCUUCCGAGUUUCCUGGAACGGGACGCCACAGAGGGUGAGAGCCCCGUAUGGUCGGACACCAAGCCUGUGUGAAGCUCCUUCGACGAGUCGAGUAGUUUGGGAAUGCUGCUCUAAAUGGGGAGGUAAAUCUCUUCUAAAGCUAAAUACCGGCCAGAGACCGAUAGCGCACAAGUAGAGUGAUCGAAAGAUGAAAAGCACCUUGAAAAGGGGGUUAAACAGUACGUGAAAUUGUUGAAAGGGAAGCGCUUGUGACCAGACUUGUGCCGGGCGGCUCAUCAGGGGUUCUCCCCUGUGUAUUCCGCCCGGCUCAGGCCAGCAUCGGUUCUCGCUGGGGGAUAAGAACGGUAGGAACGUGGCCCCCCCCCGGGGGGGUGUUAUAGCCUACCGUACGAUACCCUAGCGGGGACCGAGGUUCGCGCUCCGCAAGGAUGCUGGCGUAAUGGUCAUCAGCGACCCGUCUUGAAACACGGACCAAGGAGUCGUCCAUUAGAGCGAGCGUUUGGGUGUAAAACCCGCACGCGUAAUGAAAGUGAAAUUAGGUGAGAGCUUCGGCGCAUCAUCGACCGAUCCUGAUGUUCUCGGAUGGAUUUGAGUAAGAGUUUUAACGGACGGACCCGAAAGACAGUGAACUAUGCUUGUAUAGGGUGAAGCCAGAGGAAACUCUGGUGGAGGCUCGCAGCGGUUCUGACGUGCAAAUCGAUCGUCAAAUAUGAGCAUGGGGCCGAAAGAACUAAUUCGAACUUUCCACCUG